AACGAACGCUGGCGGCAGGCUUAACACAUGCAAGUCGAACGAGCUGGGGGCUUCGGUUCCCGCUGCUAGUGGCGCACGGGCGAGUAACACGUGGGUAUAUGCCCUUUAGUACGGAAUAACCAAGGGACACAUUGGCUAAUACCGUAUUCGCCCUUCGGGGGAAAGAUUUAUCGCUAAAGGAUUAGCCCGCGUCUGCUUAGGUAGUUGGUGAGGUCAUGGGUCACCAAUCGGACGAUAAGUAGCUGGUCUGAGAGGAUGAGCCGCCACACCGGGAGUGAGACGCGGCGCAGACUACUACGGGAGGCAGCAGUGGGUAAUAUUGGACAAUGGGGGCAACCCUGAACGAGCCAGGCCGCGUGAGUGAAGAAGGCCUGCGGGAUGUAAAGCUCGUUCGACGGGGACGGUGAUGACGGUACCCAAAGAAGAAGCCCCGGCAAACUUCGUG
rnacentral:rRNA from 1 species